rnacentral:rRNA from 1 species
UACGGAGGGUGCGAGCGUUAAUCGGAAUUACUGGGCGUAAAGCGCGCGUAGGUGGUCAGAUAAGUCGGGUGUGAAAGCCCUGGGCUUAACCUGGGAACUGCAUUCGAUACUGUCUGACUAGAGUAUGGUAGAGGGAAGUGGAAUUUCCGGUGUAGCGGUGAAAUGCGUAGAUAUCGGAAGGAACACCAGUGGCGAAGGCGGCUUCCUGGACCAAUACUGACACUGAGGUGCGAAAGCGUGGGGAGCAAACAGG